rnacentral:rRNA from 1 species
GAGCGAACGGACGAGAAGCUUGCUUCUCUGAUGUUAGCGGCGGACGGGUGAGUAACACGUGGAUAACCUACCUAUAAGACUGGGAUAACUUCGGGGAACCGGAGCUAAUACCGGAUAAUAUUUUGAACCGCAUGGUUCAAAAGUGAAAGACGGUCUUGCUGUCACUUAUAGAUGGAUCCGCGCUGCAUUAGCUAGUUGGUAAGGUAACGGCUUACCAAGGCAACGAUGCAUAGCCGACCUGAGAGGGUGAUCGGCCACACUGGAACUGAGACACGGUCCAGACUCCUACGGGAGGCAGCAGUAGGGAAUCUUCCGCAAUGGGCGAAAGCCUGACGGAGCAACGCCGCGUGAGUGAUGAAGGUCUUCGGAUCGUAAAACUCUGUUAUUAGGGAAGAACAUAUGUGUAAGUAACUGUGCACAUCUUGACGGUACCUAAUCAGAAAGCCACGGCUAACUACGUGCCAGCAGCCGCGGUAAUACGUAGGUGGCAAGCGUUAUCCGGAAUUAUUGGGCGUAAAGCGCGCGUAGGCGGUUUUUUAAGUCUGAUGUGAAAGCCCACGGCUCAACCGUGGAGGGUCAUUGGAAACUGGAAAACUUGAGUGCAGAAGAGGAAAGUGGAAUUCCAUGUGUAGCGGUGAAAUGCGCAGAGAUAUGGAGGAACACCAGUGGCGAAGGCGACUUUCUGGUCUGUA